GGGGGGUCACCCUGUGGAAAAUGCGUUAUGUUUUUUUCCCUGCACAUAUAUCCACGGUGUUUUUCCGCUCCUAAACAACACACAUAUCAGUUGGUAUACUUGAAUCACGCAGGACAAUUCUAUAAUGUGAAGGACAGCAAAAAUGCCUUAUUAUGCUUCAAAACUGAAACCUAAAAAACUAAACAAAAAGCUUGUGUCUAUUUCAUUCAUGGUCCCUGUUAUUGGAAUUCCAAUCAUUUCUGUGUUUUAUUUCGUUGUUUUAUUGUCAUGUUGUUGUUUUUCUUCCACUUUGCACUGAAACGUUAUUUUUCUCUGUGUUUAAUCUGCAAUACAGAGGGAGCUGCCAGUUCCAAUGUAGCUGUUUACUCAAGGACGUUCUUACUGUGUGUGUGUGUGUGUGUGUGUGUGUGUGUGUGUGCUCUCCUCUCUGCCUUGGCACAAAUACCUUCCGGUGGUAUUGUGGAGAAGCAGUUUAACGAUAUAGAGAUGCUGAUUUAUGGCUCGUUUUUGAUGUUUAAAGACAGAAGUAUUUGCACCAACGUUGUGUUUUAAAAGUAGAGAACGUGAGUCUCUGCAGUGUAAAGGAUCUCAGCUGUGACUGGAGCCCCGCCCUGCCAGACUGGGGGACGGGGACGGCACUAUGACAACAGGGGCAGAACAUGUUGUUUAGAGACCAGCCUAUUGUUGUGAUGGAUGCAGCCUCCGGUUGUUGUGGCGACGGCCUCCGGUUGUUAUGGCGACGGCCUCCGGUUGUUAUGGCGACGGCCUCUUUUUGUUAUGGCGACGGCCUCCGGUUGUUGUGGCGACGGCCUCCGGUUGUUAUGGCGACGGCCUCUUUUUGUUAUGGCGACGGCCUCUGGUUGUUGUGGCGCCGGCUUCCGGUUGUUGUGGCGACGGCUUCCGGUUGUUAUGGAGACGGCCUCUUGUUUACAGGCCCUUAGGAGGGCGACAGGUGGAUGGUCAUCUUCCUUCAUUUUAAAAACAAUUUUAAAAAAUAAAAUAAAAUAAAAAAAAUACCAAAAAAACUAUUAAAAUUAAAUAAAAUCGCUAGAAAAAAAAUAUAAAAAUGAAAAAAAUCUAUACCACAACUCUAUAGAGGACGAAGACGAUGCUGAAACUCUGGGAACCAUGUUCUGAUCUGAGUGGGGUCGGUCAGUGUCCUGACUGUAGAUCUGGUGUAGUGUCGGUCAGUGUCCUGACUGUAGAUCUGGUGUAGGUCGGUCAGUGUCCUGACUGUAGAUCUGGUGUGGGGUCGGUCAGUGUCCUGACUAGAUCUGGUGUGGGGUCGGUCAGUGUCCUGACUAGAUCUGGUGUGGGGUCGGUCAGUGUCCUGACUGUAGAUCUGGUGUGGGUCGGUCAGUUGUCCUGACUGUAGAUCUGGUGUGGGGUCGGUCAGUGUCCUGACUGUAGAUCUGGUGUGGGGUCGGUCAGUGUCCUGACUAGAUCUGGUGUGGGGUCGGUCAGUGUCCUGACUAGAUCUGGUGUGGGGUCGGUCAGUGUCCUGACUGUAGAUCUGGUGUGGGACGGUCAGUGUCCGGACUGUAGAUCUGGUGUGGGGUCGGUCAGUGUCCUGACCCGUGGUUCUGGUGUGGUUCUGGUUAGACCUGAAAUGGAGCCAGUGUCUCCCCAGAUUCUCUCCUUGUCGGAUGCAUCCAUCUUCUAGCACUGAAACGACUUCUGGUUGUGUGAGUUAGUUUGUACCUGCUUGGAAGAGCUCAGCGGUUUCACCCCCCCCCAAAAAUGCUGUCUUACGAAAAGGUAGAGAAAUCGGCGUGCUUCCUCCUCCUCCUCGCCACUGUCCUCCCAGUGUGUGUGUGUGUGUGUGUGUGUGUGUGUGUGUGUGUGUGUGUGACGUCAGUGGGACUGAACCAUAAAGCUGAUCCCUGUAUCUAUGCAUAUUGUAGCCAAUCACAAGGACUACAGACACGGGGAGGAGGGGCUUAAUUCUGUCUGUGUCACAACGUCAAAAUGUUUUAAAAUUAAUAAUGUGAUGAUGAUCUCUCUUUAUAUAUAUAUAUGACCUUGUUUCAAUCUCUCUCAUUGCCACAGAUGGUGGUCAAGAGAGAGGAAAAAAAUCUGUAAACAAAAAACAACAACAACAAUAAUAAUAAUCGUGUUUUUUUUGUGUUUCGGCUUCUUCUUCGUACCUCCCUAGAUGGCGCUCUGUCUGUGGUCGCUGCAGGGGAGGGGACGAGGGGGGGUUGAUGUAACCUAUCGGUGGUCGUUAACACAACUCUUCUUCUUCGUACCUCCCUAGAUGGCGCUCUGUCUGUGGUCGCUGCAUGGGAGGGGCGAGGGGGGGGGGUGGAUGUAACCUAUCGGUGGUCGUAAACACAACUCUUCUUCUUCGUACCUCCCUAGAUGGCGCUCUGUCUGUGGUCGCUGCAGGGGAGGGGGCGAGGGGGGGGUUGAUGUAACCUAUCGGUGGUUUAGAUUUACCCCAUUGAUUGUUUUAAGUUGUGAUGACAACGUGUGGGAGCUUCAAAACAGAGAUGUAUGAGGACCUUCAUGUCUUUACUUACAUUUAGUAUCUAUAGAAACCAAAAUAAUCAAACUGUUUCUCUCCAGUAGUUUUAUUGGACUGGUAGAAGUUGCUCGUUGUGUGUUUUUGACUGUAUUGAAUACCUUUGUAAAGGCCUUAGCGUACAACACAGACUCUCCACUCCUCUCCUCAUCUCCUCUCCUCCUCAUCUUCUCUCCACUCCUCCUCUCCUCCUCUCCUCUCUCCUCC
ensembl:lncRNA